UUAAAUAAUUUGGAUUACUUGAAAGUUCAAAUGACAAUGAUUCUUGAACAAAUGAUGAUUAUAGAUCAACCUGCUCCAAAUCAACCUAAUAGUUUGGCAUGGAAUCACAAUAACAAUAUGGUUGCUUCUUGGAUCUUGAAUGUGAUUCCAAAGGAUAUGCAAUCUACAAUUCUAUCACAAAGGAAUUUUGGAAUGGUUUUCAAGAACGCUUUGAAUAACCUAAUGGCCCCUUCAUCUUUCAACUCAAACUUGAAUUGGCAACCCUACAACAAAGUUCUAUAUUCGUUACUACCUAUUACGCCAAGGUUCUCCAUUUAUUCCUUUUGUUGAUCCUUUGCAUUUGUUUGCUUGUAAGAAUUCUUGUGCAAACAAAUCCAAGGGUAGCAAGAAAGAUUGCCCCUUUUGUAUUCAUAUUGGUUUUCCUGGUCACACUUAAGAUCGUUGUUAUAAGAUCCAUGGUUAUUUGCCUAAUUACAAGAUGAAUUCCUCCAAACUUACAGAACCUAUUACUGCAAAUUAAGUGUUUGAUGAUGCUCAUGUUCAAUUGACAGCACAAUAGUGUGGCCAAUUAUUUACACUUAUACCAAGCAACACCCCUAUGGUUAAUUCCACAAAUGCUUCCACCUCCAAUGUUUGUGAUUCAGGAGAUGCAUGGUACACUUCAAGAAGAUUGGCAAAGGUAGUCUCAUUAAGGGCCUCUAUUUUUUAUCCUCCCAAGACCUGAUUUCAGACCAUAUUCGUCAAAAAUGCAGUGGUAAUAUAGUGUUUACUUCAAAGAGUUUUUAGCUCUGUGAAAGCUUCAAGUCAGACACUACCCGACAUCAAACAAUGCUAGCCAUGAAUGGAGACAAGCUAUGAGUGAAGAAAUCAAAGCCUUGGAGGCCAACAAUACUUGGUCUCUUGUUUCACUUCCACAUGGUAAGCAUUGUAUUGACAGUGUGGAUCGUCAUAAAGCUUGUUUGGUAGCCAAGGGUUAUACUUAAUAGGAUGGUAUUGACUUCUUAUAUACCUUUUCCCUUGUUUCCAAGCUCACUUUUGUUCGUAUUUUACUCAUAGUGGCAACAACAAAGAAAUGGCAUUUGUUGCAAUUAGAUGUGAAUAAUGUGUUCCUUAAUGGUGAACUUUUUGAAGAGGCUUACAUUACUCCUCCUCUGGGUUAUCAUUCGACUAAAAAGGGUUUAGUUUGCAAGUUGAACAAAUCCUUGUAUGACCUUGUUUUACAUGUUCUCCACCACCUUGCUUGUUUAUGGUUUUGCUCAGUCUAGAAACAACUAUUCCUUGUUUACUUCUGGUUCAGGUCCCUCUCUGACCAUUCUACUUGUUUACGCAGAUGAUAUUGUGUUGGCAGGGCCAAAUUCCACCAAAUAAAUUGUUGAGACUCAAGCCCUCCUUCAAUCAUUGUUGAAAUUAAAAAUUCUUUGUAACUUGAAGUAUUUUCUAGGAUUGAAAAUUGCUAAGUCAAACAACGACAUAUCACUUUCUCAUUGUAAAUAUUCUCUCAAUCUGCUUGAGGAUAUUGUUUUUUUGGGCUACAAACCUAUCUCACUCCCAAUGGAUCCCAAUGCUAUACUUUCAGUCAAUGAAGGUGAUCCUCCUACUCAUGUUUUCAUGCAUGUGAUAUACGUUGAAGAUAAAAACAAAAAACAAAAAAAACUACUUUGUAGGGCCUUUGAGAUAAUUGUGUGACAUUAAUGACAUUAAUUGCAUGGAGAAUUGUACCCAAAGUUUUGGGUGACAGUUUAUUUUCGAGGGAGAAAGUGAACAUUCUUUAUCGGAAAUUCUUGAACAAUAUUAUUUGGAUGUAUGCAUUUAAAGACUUGGACGACACUUUUUUUUUCGAGGCAGAUGGAUAAAUUGUAUUUUUGGAAUAAGUGGAAUGUAAUAAAUGUUUUUAGAUUAAUGUGCAUUUGUACAUGUAUUUUUCGAAAUGAAUAAAUUAAAUUGUAAUUAUGGAAUAGGUAGAAUGUAAUAAAUAAAAAAUUAGUUAAAUGUGCAUUUAUUUUGAUUGAAUGGUUUA